GCUGCUUCUGUCUCACACUGAUUGAGGUCAAAACCCAUCUGGGUGGACUCCACCUUCUAGCCUCACAGUUAAGCAUUCCAGACAUGCCAGACAAUGUAAAAUACAACCUCAAGGGAGUGGGGUGGAGAGGGUAACAAAGCAUACCCGAAGGGGCCCACCAGGGCAGAAGGGUACAGAGGACAGGGUUCCAGGAGAUGGAGGACUCCCAAGCAAAUCAAUGCUACGAGACACUUACUACUUUCUAUAUGGCGAUUUAAAUACAAGAGAGAAAAAUAUUGCAAAAGCCAAACUGAACUAUACUUAGUGGCCGCUUCAGUUUCAAAGGAGAAAUAUUCAUCACAAAGUUUCUCUACCGUUUGCUGGACAGUUUGGAGGGCUUCCAAGUGAUGACUAGAAACCAAACUGGAAACCAGGGGAAUGCAAAGAUCUCCGGAUUACAAUAGAGCAGAGGCAGAGACUAUUUAGGCAUACCCUGACCACCAAGUUGUAACUCUUAAAUCCAGCCCAAGUGAAGUACUCUUUUAUCCAGGACGAGUGAAGGAAGAUUUCAUCUCCUACAGCAGAGUGCAAGGUGCUCAGAUACAAAGCUGCAAGAUUCCCCGAUUUGGACUCUUUUGCUCCAGAUGACUAAGUGACAGACAUGUUGCUUGUGACCUGCUUGUAUUGGCUUUGAGAUGUGGCGGCAACAGCUGUCUCUGCAUGCCCACCCAAUAGGCAUCUGGUGAAAGCAGCACAAGGAGUUGAAACAUUUCCUGCUGGGUGUGGAGGCUCCUAAAACUCAGGAAGGAUGAACGCCAUCCAUCAAGAUCAUGAAUCGGAGAUUUUUGUCUACCUGCGAUCCAACAAUAAAACAAUUAUGGAUUCACUAACAAGAGGACAACAUGUUGACUGAAAAGGAAGGAGUUGGGAAUUAUCUUUUCGUGAGAGCUCAGGGAUGGGUUCCUGCUCAUACUAAUGGCAACAUCUCAGGAGACGCCACUUCACGGCUAGACCAUACCACAAACCUUGGAAUGGAUAUCAGCCAAGUGUGUACCAAGGGCCUCCAAGAAUGGGUAUCAACAAUGACUUCCAGACAGACACAGGUAGGGGAUUCUAAAUUCAUUCCUCACCCUCUUGCUUCCCCCUGCCUGGCACACCUACAGAUAGGGGAAUUCUAAACUCAUUCCUCACCCUCUUGCUUUCCUCUGCCUGGCACACCCACAGACAAAGAACACAAGGAGAAAAGAUAAGAUAAGAGUUAGCUAUGACACAAGGAACCGUCAGGAAUCAAAUUCUUUUUUAUUAUUCCUGAGUGCAGUCUCAUUUGUUCAAACAAAGCAAAGCAAAACAAAACAAACAAAAUAGUUGUCCAAAUGCACACAGCUUCCUGAAGCUACAGAAUAUGAAUAUAUAUAUAUAUAUAUAUAUAUAUAUAUAUAUAUAUAUCUUUGUGUAUUUAUCUUCCCCAAACUUCUGAAAUAUUUUCUUUAGAGGAACAUGUCCUGAAGAUAGAAAAUUCAUUCAAGACUCAGGAUGAGGUGCAAAAAUGCACAGCUUGUUAUCUGUCACAAUGGGAAUAUAGAUUAUUCCCCAAAGGUCCUGUGCUUGCAACUUGGUAGCCAGGGUGGGGAUGCUGAGAGUGCAUGGGAUCUUUAAAAGGUAGAGCCUGGUGUGAGGUAAUUAAUUCAUUAGGGGCAGAAAUUUUAGAAGAGAUCAACGUAGUUCUUGCAGCAUCACAGGAUCUCAGGAGCUGCUAGUUCCCUCAAGAAUGAGUUUCAUGAAGGGACUGGCCUGUCCCUCCAGUCAUUGUUCUGCAUGUAUGACAUGCCACUUUCAUGCACACUCUUGCCAUUGUUAGUCCAUCCAUCACCAGAUCUGGGCACAUGCAAACAACAUGCUUUUGAAGCUCUCAAACUAUGCUUUAAAUUAGCCUCUUUCCUUCAUAAAGUCUUAGCCUCAAAUAUUUUAUCAUCAAAGCACUGAUGAUAUACCAUCUUAUCCAAAAAUGUUCAGAUACUAAGGGUAGUUCCUGAACUUUUCCCAACUGUUUUACAUAUCUCUUCAUUGAAACCUCCUCUAAAACAUAAUUUUUGCAGGUUACAUGUGUGUACAUAUAUAAUUUCUUUCUAUGUAAGUAAAUAUAGGUAUGAAGAUAUGCAAAUAUAUCUAUGAAGGAGAUCUUAGUUUUAUUUUGUUGUUAGGAAUAUUAUAAUUUUAAUAUGUCCUUACCUGUACUUCCCCAAAAGCCAACUCUUCAGGAGUCCUGGGAUCAGAGUCCCAAGGGUUAGGAGGAUUCAAUUCUAUAAGGAAAAGCCCAUCGUUUCCAUCCAUUUCGACAACUAGAACCAAAGGGAGAUAAAUCUGAGCAAGUGGUAAAAUGAUCUUUUCGGAAAUACACUGAAAGAGAAACAUAUAGUACAAGCAAAGAGGUUCAAAAUCACUCACAACAGAAGAGAAUACUCAUUGAUUGCACAGCACCUACCAAAACAAUGGCUACUGAUGAUGUUCAUACCCUUAUUCAUGCUACACUAAAGUAACUCAGGGGAUCUCAGGCAUGUUUGACACAUCCAUCUCCACACAACUGCUGUGUAAUGAAACCAGUGAAAGAGAGAAGGUCAAGUGGCUGAGAGAAUGUACGAGAAGGAACUCCUAACCUGAUGACAAAUGCCAAGACGUAUAACUAGGAAGUAGUUUCAAGUCACUCACAUUAGACUUGAGAGAUGAGAUGACUGACAGAUACAAGAAAUAAGCCACAGGCAGGCAGCAUGAUGAGUGACGUCUUGCAGAGGAAUCCUGCGCAGGCAGCAUGAGUGACGUCAUGCAGAGGGAUGCUGCCAUGCAGAGGAAUGCCAGCAUAGGAAAGCUUAGAAUACACCAAGAUGUGUCACAUGUCCAUUCCAAUCAUGAGCCAAAAGAAACCUCUCCUCUCUUAAAUUGCUCCUUCCCAGGAAUUUGGUCACAACAAUAAGAAAAGUAAGUAAAUAAUUCCCAACAACAGCUUUAGUUUUCUUCUCUUGCAGUAUGUUUGUCUGGUUUUGGUAUCAAGGUAUUACUACUGACCUAGUUGGUCUGAAACAGAAUCACUUAUGCCCAAGUGAGCUCGAUUGCCAGACUGGUUCAAUAUUUGAAAAAUGCAAUGAUAAUUCAAUAUUCAAAACUCAACGGGCUACAUCAUAUUGGCAGAAGGAAAGGAGGAAAUACAUGAGCAUCUUAACGGUUACAGAAAAGAUAUUUGACAAAAUGCAGCAUCCUUUUAUGAGUUAGAAGAUACUGUUAGGAGACAGAGAGUAGCAAAGCAGUUCCUCAACCUGAAAAAGGACAGUUGACAAACACACAGCUGCUUUCACUGUGAGAGCAGAAACAGAACCAGGAGGCUCUUCUCUUGCCACUUCUGCCUGGAGGCUUCUGAUUAAAAACAAUUAUGCAAGAAAAUGGAGUAAAAGACAUGCAAAUCAGAUAGGUGAUCAAUAUGAAAUCAAUAUUUCUAUACAUAGCAAUAAGCAAUCUUAAAAUUAUGUUUAUGGGAUGGUCAAAAAGAAUAAAAUACUUAAGAAUGAAUUUAAUCAAAGUACAAAUUUUCCACUGAGCCAAGAUUAGAAAAAAGCAGGAUGGUACAAAGAUCCCAAAAAUAUACAUUAGUGAAAAGAAAAUAGCUUCAACAAAUGGUGCUGGUAAAACGAGAUACCCACUUGCCAAGAAUGAAAUCAGAUUGCCAUCUUUUACUCUAUUGAAAAUUAACCCAAAAGGAUCAAAUACCUUAAUACAGGAUCUAAAACAGUGGAACUUCUAGGGGAAAGAGUAGGUGAGAGAGUCCAAAAUGUGGAUGGCCAUGGGUAUGAAGUUUCUGAAUAGGACUCCAGUUCUAUCAGGAAAUGGCACCAACAAUCGACAGGUAGGACUUCAUGACAUUAGCAAGCUUCUGCCCAGCAAAUGGAGCAAUUUGGUGAAGAAUGGCCACAGACUAGGAGAAUAGAUUUGUUUACUAUACAUCUGGCAGAAAAGUCAUACCUAGAAAAGCUAAACAAUGAGAAAUCAAGUACCCAAUCAAUAAACGAGCUAGUGAAAGGAGCGGGCAGGGUCUCCAAAGAUGAAAAGCAAAUGAUCAAUAAACACGAGAAAGCACGGCCUUGUCUCACAAAAACUAUCAAUAAAUCAGGUAGGUCGAAUGGUUUAAAAUCAGAACAGAUCCAACACUUGGAGAUUGGAAGCUGCCAAAGUCUCCCCUCCCCGACCCACCCUAGCAGGAAGUAUUGAUAAGUGUUUACCCAGCUCGUCCUGACAGAAGCUCCCUGGAGGGUUGAUGUACUUCAUGGUGCUCACAUCUAACUUCCAGUUGUGCUUUGUACAUUUAACGGACCUGAGGGAGUGUGAGGGGGAUGAUAGUCAGCUGUAUGACAUAGUGAAAAAGACAGUUAGUGCUGAUGAAGCAGGAUGGCAACUCAUGAGAGGGAAGUCAAAGCAAUUGAUGGAACGCAAAAUAAAUGAAAGAAAAUCUAUGAACAGAUGAUACUAGGGGAGCCAAGGAAAUGCUGGCUAAUCAUCAAACAACGUUUUUAAAUGUGAUGAUCAAGUCUGUGUCAUGCAAUGUUGUGUGUUAGAGACAACAGAACGGUCGUCUCCUGAGCCAGUGCUCAGAGGGAUAGUCAGUCUGGAAUGAGGUUAGUCAUACACAGGCUCUAGGGGAAAAAGUGAAGGCUGGCCAGGGGUAAAGCGAUGACUGUACCCAGAGAAGCAAAGUGAUGAUAGGAGCCCACGCUCCUGAAGACAGCCCUUGUCCAAAACUGCUCAAAAGGCCCUUCCCAUAACAGCAAAGUGAGGUUCAGUGAGAAUGUGCUCAUACAUAUGUGUGACUUAUCCACUUGCAACCCUUCAGCUCUAGUGUUCAACUAGUUUCAAAUCCCAAAAAAUGUUUCCCUAGAGUUUAAGGUUUGAGAGCAUGAUUACUGGAUCAGUUAUGAUAUACUCAGAUAAACAUGAAUUUCAGGCAGAGUAAGUAUAUUUUUUUCUUCUUUUCUUCCUUUGAUUUUUCAAGAUAGGGCCUCUUUGUAUACCUAUGGCUGUCCUGGAACUCUCUUUGUAGACCAGGCUGGCUUUGAACUCAUAGAGAUCCACUUUCCUCUGUCUCCCAAGUGUUGGGAUUAAAGGUGUGUGUGACCACAUCUGGCUAAAAGUGAAUAUAUUCUUGAAUGCAUAUCUCUCGUAACAUUUACAACAUACACUAAAAUUUGGUUUUAUCAGUCAUUAUUUGGGUGAGUGUUCUACAUUUCUAUUUACUAAUUUAAUUCCAUUUCAGAAUAAGACUUAGACUAGAGCAAGCAGGAGACUUCUUAGAGGAGGUGCUGUGCAAUUUUUGCUAUUUGCUUGAACCAACUCCCUUCUUUCUUACCUUUCUUCUUGCUUUCUCCCUUCAACUUUCUUGAGACAGGAUCUCAUGUAGACCAAGCCAGCCUUGACCUUACUAUGUAGCUGAGGAUGACCAUAAACUCCUAAUCCCUCUGCCUCCUCCUGAAUGCUUUGAUUACACAUGUACUCCACCAUUGCGUGGUUCACUCUGCCUAGCUCAGUCUUAUUUUUUGUUUUUUUUGUUUUGUUUUUCAGUCAGAAUUUUACUCUGUAGCCCAAACUGGUCCCAAAUAAACAAAAACAAACAAACAAACAAAAAAAAACCCUGCCUCCGUCUCCCAAGCACUGGAAUCCCAAGCAUGAGCUACCAUAUUCAGUGUCCUUUCGUCUACCCAGAAAAUAAAGCUUGUCAGACUUGGGGUUGCUCAUAAGUUCCUGCUGACAUUCAAGAAGCAAGGAAUUUUUUAACCAAGGGAUGUCUCCUGCCAGAAACAUCAUUUGAGGAAGAAAUCAAAAACAUCUAUUUAAACUUGUAAGCAUGUCAUGGUGACAUUUCUAAGCUUCAUUAUAUCCAGAAUUUUUAAAUGUUCAUUACUGGUCAGUUAGAAAGCACAGUCUGUAGUUCAAUUUAUGAAGGAUUACUUUGUGGCCCUUUCUUUCUCAGGAAUAAGUGAACAGCAACCUCUAAAACUUAGGAUGAGACAUUCAUUCCAAAUGGAACUGUAAAGCACACUAGGACCCAAGAGAGAAAGCUGUCAGAGCUCAGUGUAGUUGGGUGGCAGCUUGAUGGGAGGAGGCAGGAGUGGGACAAGAGAAGAUGCAGGGUCAGAAGAAAGGAAGAGGUGAGGAAGGGCUAGGAGGGGACAAGAGAGAGACAGAAGUGAACAGGUGGGCAUGAGGAGGACUCCACUCCACACACAGAAGUUGUGAGCAUGUUCAAUUUAAGGACAUGAAAUGUAUAGCCCCUGAGAUAUGUUGCUCUUGGUUAUGUGUCAGGAAGAAAACUGACUGAAUGGCAGGUAGGAAUGGACUAUGCUUGAGUGUACCCUGGAGAAGAUGUCUCUCAGGGAUUGGUAACUACACAGAGGGCUCAAGUAGAAGAAUAGAAGGUCAGGCAAAUGGGAGCCAUCAAAGGCAUACAGUUUAGCUACUGAGCAAUGAGCUCCACAAAGAAUAAAGUGAAGCGUGCCUGGCUUCCCUGUGAAGGUAGCAAAGAGAACAGGUAUAUGGACUAGGGAAUGGCUCAGUGGGUGAAGGGCUUGCACACAAGCAGGAGAACUUGAGUCUAAACCUCUGCACUGCUGCAAAAAGCUAAGAGUGACAGCGUGCACCUAUAACCAGCACUGGGAAUGUGGAGACAGGAAGAUCCCUGGGGCUUCCUAGCCUGAUAUAGCUUAAUUGGUGAGUUCCAAGUUCAAUGAGAGACUCAAAAAAUCACAUGUAGUGUGACUAAGGAAGAAACUCUCCAUCAACAUCUGCCCCUCCCCACAUACACAACACACACACACACACACACACACACACACACACACACACAAAUAUUCACACAAAACAAGGCUAAGCUCUUGGCAAAGUGAAAGUAAGAUCAACCACCUUAUGGCUUUGCUUUAGGCAAGAAUGGCUGAUCUGUGGUGAGGAACUGAAUGCAGAAAAAAUCAGUUCUUCUCAAUAAUCUGUAUAUACAGACAACACAGGAAGUUCAUGUCCCACAGGAAGAGUAACAAUGGUGAACAUUUAUUGGCUAUUCAUGAUAUACUACAGGGGAUGGUCUUCUAAAUACUUUUUGUAGGUUUUGAGUGAGUGGAUGAUUCUUUUUGUGUGUGAACACGUACAUGCAAGUGUGUAAUCCAAAAGUCACUAUCAGAAGUCUUUCUCAAUUUUUUUCCAUUUACUUUUUCCCUUUUUCAAUUUUUUUAAAAUAAGCUUUAUUAUUUUAAAAAAUCUCGCAAAUAAAUUUUUAAAAAUUACAUACCAAAAUUUUCCAGGAAGUCUAUGAAACUUCAUGAACUUACAUAUAGUUAGAAUUGACAUUCAGAAUAGAACGUGAGCUUCAGUCUUACCCGUUCAGAAUUGAAUAUAUUUUAUGCAUUUAUCCACUACCCGAACCAAAACAUCCAAGACAGAAUUAGAACUUGAAAAACAAUUAGCUUCAUAUUGUCUUUCAUAACGUGUCCAUCACUUGCAGUCGCUCCUUCCUCGUUAUUUCCACUUACUCUUUUUGACCCAGGGUCUCUCAUUGAACUUGGAGUUCAUUGAUUACAUUAGACUGGCUUUCUAGGAAGCCCCAGGGAUCCUCCUGUCUCUGCCUCCCCAGAGGUUGGGGUUGCAGACACAUGCCAGAGUGCCUGACUUUUUACAUAAACACUAUGGAUUUGAACAUAGGCCCUCAUGCUUCAAUAGCAAACAUUUCAUUUUACAGAUGAGCAGACCGAGGCCGAGAAAGGUUAUGAACUUGCUCAAGGUUAUUCCUGAGCUGGUGAGUGGUGAGGCGGGCUUCUAAUGCAGGCAGGCAGGAAGGAGAGAUCACACUUAGCUUUAACACCCCCCCCCAAGUGGUUUGCUACGUGUUGAAAGACAGGAAAUUCAAAGUUUCCCAACGACAAUCAGCAAGAGAAAAAACUUCUAUCCACCCUGAGUUCUGCAAAAAUCUACUAGAGACAGUGGAGAUGAGAUUCCCUCAGAAGAAAGCCAACAGACAGCCCACUUGGAAUAUUACCUGCACUUUUUGACUACAGGUGUGACAGAUUAGCACUGGAAAGUCUAAUAGCACAUGUAAUAACAUGAACUGUGAAACUGCAUGUGUAAUAGCAUGCACAUAUAAUAACAUGAACCGUGAAACUGCGUGUGUAGCCCCACAAAUCUAUGGGUAGAUGUGCAAAUGUCCUCUACACAAUGAUAGGGGGACAUUCUUGGACAACUCCUCAGCGCCCUCUAGCACCGAACUAUCCAUACAUGACUAGAGCAAUAAGAUCAAUGACACAAAGGAAGGAAAAGGCCCAACACCCAAGGACACAGGCCUCAGACCACGUCAGGCUGCAGAGGAGUCUGCUACAGCGGUGCUUCUUAGCCUUCCUAAUGCUGGGACACUUCAAAACAGUCCCUCAGGCUGUGAUGACCCCCAAGCAUACAGUUAUUUCCUUGCUCCUUCAUAACUGUAAUUUUGCUAGUCUUAUGAAUUGUAAUGUAAAUAUCUAUGUUUUCUGAUGUCUCAGGAGACCCCUGUGUGAAAGGGUUGUUCAGUCCUGAGGAAUCGCAACCCACAGGUUGAGAACCACUGCUGUAAAGGGUUCCGUAUCCAGAAAGCAACUGGUGCUGACAGAGCAGAUGCCCCGGAAUUCCCUUGAGCUGUGCCAGAUAGUUUCCCAAAGCCAAACAACUCUGUCCUAACAUUGCUGCUGCCCAAGGAGAGAUGAGAAUGGAGGCUGGCAAAAGCAUGAGUCCUUAGAAGGAAUAACCAGACGACUAAUGUUAGGAUGGGGACAGCUGGGACUUUGUCUCUGAUAAGCAGGGCUCGGCUGACGGAAGAAUUCCAUCUACUUCCCAGCACGGUUGGGAAGGGCUCUCUGCCUGUCUCUCUGUGUCUCUGUGUCUCUGUGUCUCUGUGUGUCUGUCUGUCUCUCUCUCUCUCUCUCUCUCUCUCACUCUCUCUCUCUCUCUCUCUCUCUCUCUCUCUGGUGUGUGUGUGUGUGUGUGUGUGUGUGUGUGUGUCCUGGGAAAACGAAACUUCUGGAAGACUUGAAUCUUUGAUGAAUGCAAUACCGCAUAUGUGUGUGCCCACCCCUGCAUCCCGAACAUUCCCACACACGUACACAUACUCUAGAAGCUAGGUUACAACAGCGAGGAUUGUCAAGCUAAAUUAGAGUUCUUAGAAAGAGAGAAGAGAAAGGAAACCUAAGCAACACAUAUAAUUUUGAAGCUAGAAAACUGUCCCAAGGAAACAAGAGGAAAGCUUUCUAGAAGCAAUUUGUUUAUUUGGUCGUUUGAAAUGUCUGUAUGAGCACGUUUCAAAUCUAACUGCAAACAGGGUCCCCGGCAAGAGAGCAAAGGCCCCAUGGUACCUUCCGUCUAAAUCCUCAAUGUCUUUUAUGAACAGGCCUCCUUGGUGCUUGCAGAGGUUCUUGCAUGCCUUUAGGUGGUUUUUCUCCUUGUAUAAAAUGUACUCUUUGCCAGUAGUCUUAUUUCGAAAAAAAUUGAUUCCUUCCUUGAGGUUGGCAGUUUCAGCAGGUGACAGAGACAACAGGGUCUCAGCUGUCUGUUUCCUGAGAAGGAAGACAGCAUUAUGAGGAGCAUUAGUGGUGCUGGCUUUGAAAGCAUAAACAUUCUGAACAGAGAGCUCAAAAUUCCAUCUCCCACAACCCAUUCUCAGUGGCUCCCUACUAAUAGUGCCCUUUCUCCACCCUUUAAAUGCAUGUAAAUAGCGUUCUGCUGUCCUGCAGAACUGGGCCCUCUCUCACUUGCCUGUCCAUUGCUGUCAGCUCCUGGGUAUUCCAAAGCAAUUGCCAGGGUUCCUUUUACUUCUGAGGCUCUUAUGCUCACACCAGGAAGGUGAAGAAGGCGUUAACUGCCUGGAGAGAGAAUGUUUACCCAAAUUCACUAUUUCCGUUGAUAGUUGAUAGGGUUUCCUCUCUCCACCCCACCCCCCCUCUUUGAAAAGCCUGGGUCUUCAGUUCAGUUUUCCCUGGCUUCCCUUUCACAUUUGGACAUUCCUCAGCCACACAGGGAGUUCAGGUCCUCCAGGAUCACCAUCAGCCUGUAGGUUGCACCUCCCUGGCUAAGCCUCCUGGAUCCAUCCCUGUAACUCCACCCUCAGGGCACAGCUCCUGGUAAGCUGCCUGCUCCCUUUAAAUGUGUCUGCUUUGAAAGCCCUGUCUUCAGUUUUCUCUUCCAUCACUUAGCUUGCUGUCCUUCCCAUGCUGUCUUCAUCGGUUAGCUAUUUAACAAAUUAACCCUCUCAGGCACUAAGUUUGAAGGAUUUGCUGAAGACAUCAGCAACAAAGGAGGUAUAGAAGCACCAAGCUUUAAUUCAACCCAGUUUCUGAAUAGGUUUUCUGGGAACUUUGAAUCGGGACAAAAUUGAAGUUCUGUGGAGAGGUUUUCCAAAAUGCACUUUUUUGCUUUUCUGUGAUGUAAAAAUCUGGGUGUAUGUGGUUACUUGUAUCUUUUACUCCAAACUUAAAGUGACCCAAAUUAUCUCCUCUCCUCGUGUUGCCUUUAAAAACAAGCCCAAGUGUAUGUGGGGAUGAUUUCACUUUCACUCUGUAAAUGUCUUAAACUACAUGGUAAAAAUAAUUGGGUGGGGGGAAGGGCGAGGAACUCAAGCUAUUUCCAGUUGUAAACAGAGAAGGCACAGCUCUGGGACAGAUACACAUCCCACAGCAGAGCCACUGUCACUUCUGUCCUGCUCUCUUCCCAGAUCUCUUCACAGCAGAUGUGGCAUUAUUCCAGAGAUACAUUUCAAAUGAAUACAGUGGGAAGAGAUCCAUUCGAAACCCUGGAAUCACUUUACUGACUUUUUACAAUGUAAUGAGCCAACAUCCACUUAAAAGCCAGUACAGGUACCAUGCCUGUAGUGGGUAGAGGUGCACAGAGAAACCAUCUUCAGAUGCUGUGAUCUUCAGAUGACUUGAUUGAAUGGAUCACAAGGCCCACAUUCUGUGUUAGAGUCCGGGUUGUGUCACCCCCUUAAGAAAGCAGGUACAAUGAACUGCAUCUCUUUCUGGCAUCAUAUGCAGCCACAUUGGAGAUAACACAAAGGAGGAAAAAUAUUGGUGCUCCAAUGUACAAGCUUGUUUUUGAGACAGGGUCUUAUGGAACCCUUUUGGUCUCAAACUCUCAUGUAGGCAAAAGUGUCAGAGGUCAAGGGCAUCCUCACCAACAUCAAGGCCAGUCUGGGCUACAGGAAUCCCCCACAUUAGUUAAUUAAAAAUAACCACAACAGAUGUACAUAAAGACUAUUAUAUAGAGAAAUAUAUCUGUCUUAAUGGCUUAAAAUAUCCUGAAUUCUUAGUUUUCUGUCAUAUUUUUUGAUGGGAUACAUUUUGCUUGUCUUUCACUUACUGUUCAGCUGUGUGUGUGUGUGUGUGUGUGUGUGUGUGUGUGUGUGUGUGUGUGUACUUUAGACAGAGUCUCUAUGUAGCUAUGGCUGGCCUUCAACUUGCCAGGUAGACCAGGCUGGCCUCACAUUCACAGAGAUCUGCCUGCCUCUGCCUCCUAAGUGUAGGGGCACCACUACGUUAGGCUGCUCUAAGUUUUAAAGGAUAUGCUCUCGCUGUGUAUCCCUCUGACUCAGUCUCCCAAGGCCUGACCUCGUAGGUGAGGUGUGCACUCCAACAACACAGAGGCCAGCUUUGUUUGUUUAUUGUUUGUUUUAUGGUGCUGUGGCUCAAAUCUUUGUAGUUAGAAAUGCUAGGCAAGCAUUCCACCUUCGAGCCACAUCUUUAUGGUUUUUGAUGAUUAAUUAUGACCUGAACUAUGAACUAGCUAUAAUUCCUCUUCAUAAGCAGUCUGUGUAUCUAAUCUGAACUGUCUUCUAGAAAUUCUCCAUCAUAAGAUGACAGUAAAUCAACUUAAGAAGCCUUUAGGAGCAGUAGCUGUUGUGGGGUUGUGAGCCCAGGACUGUGGAUGGAGCAGCAUAGGAUCCCAGUCCUGGGCUCUGCUGCAAGCCUGGAUGGGAACCAAGGCUCCAUGCAUACACUGCAUCUGAUGGGCAGAGAUUGCUCCGUGAGGGUACCACCAUGCCCGGCCCAGUCAGAAACCUCCUAACUGCUGCUUUGCUCCCUGCGGGGAUGGCUCAGACAAGAUGGAACAGUUGUCCAGGAAGUCAGGGAUGCACCACACAACCUAGCACCUGAUAAGCAAGACCCUUAGGUGCAGGGGCAGCCACAGCUCUACCCAUCCAGUCACACCCUGACUGAGAGGAGUCAAGUGACAGCAGCACUGGUUGUAGGUCUCAGUUAAAGCCUUCUGGCCACCUGGACAGCAGAAGGGUCACUUCAGUUGCUGUGUAUCGGGACAAUGACAAGGGAAAGCUGAGCAAGGAGGUAUCAGCACACACACUUUGGAAUCCCUGUGAGAGGCCCUCAAAUUACAUAUCCAAGAGGAGAUUGGAAAGUGCCAGAGCGCAGAUGGCUCAAGUUUAAAGGAGGCCUUUGUGUGUAUGAUAAGGCCGGAUGACUUUGCUGCCUCUGAGCCUGAUGGGAGACUCACCACGGAAUGCUGACAGCUAUUUGAAGGCCGAAGCCCUUUGAGCUCUUGUCAUCUCCCCAGAGAAUCACAUGAGCUCUAAGUGCCCUAUUCCCUACAAGUGGAGUGAGGUUAAAGCAAAAACGUUCCUGAUAAACAGCAAGAGGCACAGUCAGUGUGUCAGGGUGUUGGUGAAUGAGUUUAGGAGGCAGGGGCAGGGGGAUUGCUAUACAUUCAAGACCAGCCUGGGCUACAAAGCAAGACCUUGUCUCAGAAACAAACAAAAAAACUGGAUGCGCUGGCUGUGUUAACAAGUGGUUAAUCCACAUCCCCCCCAUCACUUUUGAAUCAUUACCAGUAUUUUGUGUGUAUAAAUGAGUAAGGUAAAUUAGGCAAAUGUUUUGAAAACAUUACUACAUUAGUUAUCAUCGUAAAGUGCUUACUUUAACAUAGACAAUGUUAUUGAUUUACUGCUUCUAAGAUCUGUAGCAAGUUAGAUGUGGUGGUUCACUUCUGCUAGCUCCGUACUGAGAAGGCUGAGGCAGGAAGAUCAUGAGUUCAAGCCCUGCCUCAGCUACAUAGUGAAACUCUGUCUCCCAGAAGGAGGUGAGACAUAGCACCAUAAGUGAUGCUGUGGGGAUUUAUUUUGAAAACCCCAAAUCUAGAGCCAUGCUGGGUAUGGUGGGACACAUCUAUAAUCUCAAGAGGACAAAGCAGGGUAAUCAGGAGUUCAAAGCCAGCAGCAUACAUACUGAGUUCCAAAUCAGCCUGGACUACAGGAUGAGACACUGCCUCAAAAACUAACAAUGUAGGCCAGGCGGUGGUGACCCAUGCCUUUCAUCCUCUCAUGGCCCAGCCCAGUCUGCUAGCCAUGAUGAAUGUACUACUUUCCCUGCUCUUGACAUUUCCAGAUGCCUCUGGCCACACUCUCCCUCAUAUCUACAAUAGAAACCUUCCCCUCAACCACAAAUAGUCAUGUCCUCACCUGAUGCUAAAACCUCCGGGAGGGCCACAAAUAGACAGACCCCUUCCAAGGGCCUGGCUUCUCCUAAUUGAACCAAGCUGCUGAUCUGGCUCUCCUAAGGCAUGUGUAGGUCAUUUGUUCCUGCACCCACCAUACUUGAGUCCACAUUCUAGAGUCUGCCUCUUCAGCCACUUCUUCCCUCUACCUGGUAUGCUUCUCCACUGAGAUUCCUGGCAUCUCUCAGUCUCUCUGGCUCUUGGAGCCUGUGAUGCUCUCCUGGGCACCGGUCACAUGCAAAGGCUUUGUUUCUCCUUCUGCCUGCUGGAUCCUCAUCUACUUGGUAACUGUUACCUCAGAACUGCCUGUUGUGUCUCAGCUGGCUCACUGGAGCCUACUAUUAUGAUAGAAAGCCACACUGGUGUGCUGGGAAGCUCCUCUUGCCCCACUGGGCCUCCAUCACAUGCAGGAUGCCCAUCUCCCUUAUGAUUCGGGACAUUUCUCUCUGACAAGUCUCUCAGUAUGCUUAGGGAUGCCACACCCCAACUGAAAUCCUUGUCAACAGGAUACUUAUCCUUCUCUCUCCCAUCCUUUUCUCCCUUCCUACAUGUUCUCAGCUUCCUCCUGGAGCUUUCUCAUCUCUACCUAGGAACUGCUCAUGUCUGUGUCCUUGCUGUUUGUCCUUUGUCACUGGAGCCUUCUGUUAAAGUCCCACAGCUUUCUUAUGCCCUCCUGGGACUCUACAAUAUAGGAAUCCUCUCUUGGGUAGAGUUCCCAUUUUGUGACAUUUUCUCUCCUUUUCUGAUUUGUUUUUUCUAAUCUUUUUUCCUCCUCUGACUCAGAGAUUUCAUCAAAGCUUUGCUGUCUUUCUACAAAUGACUUGACCUCAGUACAGCUCAACGGCUAAAACACGACACACUCAUAUAGACAGAGUUUCUGUUCUACUUGGUCCCCAAGCCAUUUAGCCCCAAAUAAACACACUGAUACUUAUAUUAAUUAUAAACUAUUAGGUUGUUGAAUUAGGCUUCUUACUGGCUAGCUCUCUCUUAA